UGUCAGCCUGGUGGCUUAUUUGAUGCUCCUCUCCAUAAAACCCAACCGACAGCCCUUGGUCUACCCUGGGCUUGUACGAGGCUCUCCUUUUGUUGGGCAGUGAAGAGGCCUGGGCAGCUCUCACUCCUCCAACUGGGCAGAGCUUCAUGUUUGAUCUUCCAUUUAAAUUAGCAGUGCUCAGGGUGUCUGGGUGCUUCGUCCACAUGAGCUGUGGUGAGUAAAUAAACAAGGCUCUGCUUUCAAAGGCUUUCACAACUCAUUAACUUCAAAGGAACGGGCUCUAUUUUCUUAGCAGGUCGGUCAUUCCACAGACUUACUCUGGGUGCUGAAGGUGGUGACUGGCCAUUCCAGGAAGCUGGGGCAGCUGCUGCAGGGCCCAGUGUCACACACAGAACUGUGGUGAGGGGUAGAGGAGCAGCCCAUGGUCAGUGUUAUGUCUGAGGAGGAGAACAGGACCCACCUGGGAGCCUGCUUGCCAGAAGGAGAAAUGGCACAAGAGGAAAUACAUCUUCACAGCCUCGGGAGAGGAGAAGGUUGGAAUCUGAGUCCAUAAACAGCAUUUCUGUGCAGUGAGCAAAGACAGAGCAGGUUGAGCUCUGGAGAGUGUAACUCCACCUCUGCUGCUCCACUGCCAAUUAAAAAUAAAGAAGAGCUUGUUUGUUUUUCC